rnacentral:rRNA from 1 species
UUAAGCGACUAAGCGUACACGGUGGAUGCCCUGGCAGUCAGAGGCGAUGAAGGACGUGCUAAUCUGCGAUAAGCGUCGGUAAGGUGAUAUGAACCGUUNCACACUAUCAUUAACUGAAUCCAUAGGUUAAUGAGGCGAACCGGGGGAACUGAAACAUCUAAGUACCCCGAGGAAAAGAAAUCAACCGAGAUUCCCCCAGUAGCGGCGAGCGAACGGGGAGGAGCCCAGAGCCUGAAUCAGUGUGUGUGUUAGUGGAAGCGUCUGGAAAGGCGCGCGAUACAGGGUGACAGCCCCGUACACAAAAAUACACAUAUUGUGAGCUCGAUGAGUAGGGCGGGACACGUGGUAUCCUGUCUGAAUAUGGGGGGACCAUCCUCCAAGGCUAAAUACUCCUGACUGACCGAUAGUGAACCAGUACCGUGAGGGAAAGGCGAAAAGAACCCCGGCGAGGGGAGUGAAAAAGAACCUGAAACCGUGUACGUACAAGCAGUGGGAGCACGCUUAGGCGUGUGACUGCGUACCUUUUGUAUAAUGGGUCAGCGACUUAUAUUCUGUAGCAAGGUUAACCGAAUAGGGGAGCCGAAGGGAAACCGAGUCUUAACUGGGCGUUAAGUUGCAGGGUAUAGACCCGAAACCCGGUGAUCUAGCCAUGGGCAGGUUGAAGGUUGGGUAACACUAACUGGAGGACCGAACCGACUAAUGUUGAAAAAUUAGCGGAUGACUUGUGGCUGGGGGUGAAAGGCCAAUCAAACCGGGAGAUAGCUGGUUCUCCCCGAAAGCUAUUUAGGUAGCGCCUCGUGAAUUCAUCUCCGGGGGUAGAGCACUGUUUCGGCAAGGGGGUCAUCCCGACUUACCAACCCGAUGCAAACUGCGAAUACCGGAGAAUGUUAUCACGGGAGACACACGGCGGGUGCUAACGUCCGUCGUGAAGAGGGAAACAACCCAGACCGCCAGGAUGUUGGCUUAGAAGCAGCCAUCAUUUAAAGAAAGCGUAAUAGCUCACUGGUCGAGUCGGCCUGCGCGGAAGAUGUAACGGGGCUAAACCAUGCACCGAAGCUGCGGCAGCGACGCUUAUGCGUUGUUGGGUAGGGGAGCGUUCUGUAAGCCUGCGAAGGUGUGCUGUGAGGCAUGCUGGAGGUAUCAGAAGUGCGAAUGCUGACAUAAGUAACGAUAAAGCGGGUGAAAAGCCCGCUCGCCGGAAGACCAAGGGUUCCUGUCCAACGUUAAUCGGGGCAGGGUGAGUCGACCCCUAAGGCGAGGCCGAAAGGCGUAGUCGAUGGGAAACAGGUUAAUAUUCCUGUACUUGGUGUUACUGCGAAGGGGGGACGGAGAAGGCUAUGUUGGCCGGGCGACGGUUGUCCCGGUUUAAGCGUGUAGGCUGGUUUUCCAGGCAAAUCCGGAAAAUCAAGGCUGAGGCGUGAUGACGAGGCACUACGGUGCUGAAGCAACAAAUGCCCUGCUUCCAGGAAAAGCCUCUAAGCAUCAGGUAACAUCAAAUCGUACCCCAAACCGACACAGGUGGUCAGGUAGAGAAUACCAAGGCGCUUGAGAGAACUCGGGUGAAGGAACUAGGCAAAAUGGUGCCGUAACUUCGGGAGAAGGCACGCUGAUAUGUAGGUGAAGUCCCUUGCGGAUGGAGCUGAAAUCAGUCGAAGAUACCAGCUGGCUGCAACUGUUUAUUAAAAACACAGCACUGUGCAAACACGAAAGUGGACGUAUACGGUGUGACGCCUGCCCGGUGCCGGAAGGUUAAUUGAUGGGGUCAGCGCAAGCGAAGCUCUUGAUCGAAGCCCCGGUAAACGGCGGCCGUAACUAUAACGGUCCUAAGGUAGCGAAAUUCCUUGUCGGGUAAGUUCCGACCUGCACGAAUGGCGUAAUGAUGGCCAGGCUGUCUCCACCCGAGACUCAGUGAAAUUGAACUCGCUGUGAAGAUGCAGUGUACCCGCGGCAAGACGGAAAGACCCCGUGAACCUUUACUAUAGCUUGACACUGAACAUUGAGCCUUGAUGUGUAGGAUAGGUGGGAGGCUUUGAAGUGUGGACGCCAGUCUGCAUGGAGCCGGCCUUGAAAUACCACCCUUUAAUGUUUGAUGUUCUAACGUGGACCCGUGAUCCGGGUUGCGGACAGUGUCUGGUGGGUAGUUUGACUGGGGCGGUCUCCUCCUAAAGAGUAACGGAGGAGCACGAAGGUUGGCUAAUCCUGGUCGGACAUCAGGAGGUUAGUGCAAUGGCAUAAGCCAGCUUGACUGCGAGCGUGACGGCGCGAGCAGGUGCGAAAGCAGGUCAUAGUGAUCCGGUGGUUCUGAAUGGAAGGGCCAUCGCUCAACGGAUAAAAGGUACUCCGGGGAUAACAGGCUGAUACCGCCCAAGAGUUCAUAUCGACGGCGGUGUUUGGCACCUCGAUGUCGGCUCAUCACAUCCUGGGGCUGAAGUAGGUCCCAAGGGUAUGGCUGUUCGCCAUUUAAAGUGGUACGCGAGCUGGGUUUAGAACGUCGUGAGACAGUUCGGUCCCUAUCUGCCGUGGGCGCUGGAGAACUGAGGGGGGCUGCUCCUAGUACGAGAGGACCGGAGUGGACGCAUCACUGGUGUUCGGGUUGUCAUGCCAAUGGCACUGCCCGGUAGCUAAAUGCGGAAGAGAUAAGUGCUGAAAGCAUCUAAGCACGAAACUUGCCCCGAGAUGAGUUCUCCCUGACCCUUUAAGGGUCCUGAAGGAACGUUGAAGACGACGACGUUGAUAGGCCGGGUGUGUAAGCGCAGCGAUGCGUUGAGCUAACCGGUACUAAUGAACCGUGAGGCUUAACCUU